GACUUAAGCAUAUCAAUAAGCGGAGGAAAAAGAAACCAACAGGGAUUGCCCUAGUAACGGCGAGUGAAGCGGCAACAGCUCAAAUUUGAAAUCUGGCGUAAGCCCGAGUUGUAAUUUGUAGAGGAUGCUUCUGGGUAGCGGCCGGUCUAAGUUCCUUGGAACAGGACGUCAUAGAGGGUGAGAAUCCCGUAUGUGACUGGCUUGCACCCUCCACGUAGCUCCUUCGACGAGUCGAGUUGUUUGGGAAUGCAGCUCUAAAUGGGAGGUAAAUUUCUUCUAAAGCUAAAUACCGGCCAGAGACCGAUAGCGCACAAGUAGAGUGAUCGAAAGAUGAAAAGCACUUUGGAAAGAGAGUUAAAAAGCACGUGAAAUUGUUGAAAGGGAAGCGCCCGCAACCAGACUUUGCGGCGGUGUUCGGCUGGUCUUCUGACCGGUUUACUCGCCGCCGUGAGGCCAUCAUCGUCUGGGACCGCUGGAUAAGACCUGAGGAAUGUAGCUCCCUUCGGGGUGUGUUAUAGCCUCUGGUGAUGCAGCGCGUCUCGGGCGAGGUCCGCGCUUCGGCAAGGAUGAUGGCGUAAUGGUUGUCGGCGGCCCGUCUUGAAACACGGACCAAGGAGUCUAACAUCUAUGCGAGUGUUCGGGUGUCAAACCCCUACGCGUAAUGAAAGUGAACGGAGGUGGGAACUUUUUGUGCACCAUCGACCGAUCCUGAUGUCCUCGGAUGGAUUUGAGUAAGAGCAUAGCUGUUGGGACCCGAAAGAUGGUGAACUAUGCCUGAAUAGGGUGAAGCCAGAGGAAACUCUGGUGGAGGCUCGCAGCGGUUCUGACGUGCAAAUCGAUCGUCAAAUUUGGGUAUAGGGGCGAAAGACUAAUCGAACCAUCUAGUAGCUGGGUUCCUGCCGAAGUCCCCCUCAAGGAAC
rnacentral:rRNA from 1 species